rnacentral:rRNA from 1 species
GACGAACGCUGGCGGCGUGCCUAAUACAUGCAAGUCGAACGCAGUGGGGACGGGUGAGUAACACGUGGGUAACCUCCCAUCAGAGGGGAUAACACUUGGAAACAGGUGCUAAACCGAUACUGAUGGAUGGACCCGCGGUGGAUUAGCUAGUUGGUGAGGUAACGGCUCACCAAGGCCACGAUGCAUAGCUGACCUGAGAGGGUGAUCCGCAACACUGGAACUGAGACACGGCCCAGACUCCUACGGGAGGCAGCAGUAGGGAAUAUUCGGCAAUGGACGAAAGUCUGACCGAGCCACGCCGCGUGAGUGAAGAAGGUUUUCGGAUCGUAAAACUCUGUUGGUAGAGAAGCGUUAUCUAACCAGAAAGCAACGGCUAACUACGUGCCAGCCGCCGCGGUAAUAC